rnacentral:rRNA from 1 species
UACGUAGGUGGCAAGCGUUAUCCGGAAUUAUUGGGCGUAAAGGGUGCGUAGGCGGUUUAUUAAGUCUAUGGUGAAAGUGCGGGGCUCAACCCCGUAUGGCCAUAGAAACUGGUAGACUUGAGUGCAGGAGAGGGCAAUGGAAUUCCAUGUGUAGCGGUAAAAUGCGUAGAUAUAUGGAGGAACACCAGUGGCGAAGGCGGUUGCCUGGCCUGUAACUGACGCUGAAGCACGAAAGCGUGGGGAGCAAAUAGGAUUAGAUACCCGAGUAGU